rnacentral:rRNA from 1 species
ACCUUGUUACGACUUCUCCUUCCUCUAAGUGUUAAAGGUCACAAAACUUCCCAUUUCGGGCACGAACGCGCCACAAAACGGU